rnacentral:rRNA from 1 species
CAGCAGCCACGGUAAUACAGAGGGUGCGAGCGUUAAUCGGAUUUACUGGGCGUAAAGCGUGCGUAGGCGGCUUCUUAAGUCGGAUGUGAAAUCCCUGAGCUUAACUUAGGAAUUGCAUUCGAUACUGGGAAGCUAGAGUAUGGGAGAGGAUGGUAGAAUUCCAGGUGUAGCGGUGAAAUGCGUAGAGAUCUGGAGGAAUACCGAUGGCGAAGGCAGCCAUCUGGCCUAAUACUGACGCUGAGGUACGAAAGCAUGGGGAGCAAACAGGAUUAGAUACACCAGUAGUCCCUGUCUCUUAUAA